rnacentral:rRNA from 1 species
AUGGAGCUCGACCCUUUUAAUGCGACCUUGCGCUCAAACAGUAGCCUAUGCUGGAUUCGCUUCGGUAAUGGGACGCAGGCCCUGAAGGACGCUCAAGCUUGCAGGAUGAUGCGACCUGGCUGGGCCAAGGGCUGCCACCGCGAAGGAACUGCUCUGAUGCUACUGAAGGACGAUGAAAAGGCAUGUGGUGCAUUUCUUGAUGGUCUUAAGUUGGAGCCUGGGAACGUCGAGAUGGAAGACGGGUUACGGGAGGCCUUGGAGUCCAUGAAGAUAUGUGGCAAAAAGAAAAGGGGUUAG